GCCGAGGCCCGGCGUGGGGAGGCCGGCAGGAAGGGCCUCGAGCCCAGUGCGGACCUUUCUUCAGCCUCUGUGCUACCGAGCCGCGCGCCAGGCUCCUGUGCGAGGAGGACGCGCUGACUCCCUCCGACCUGGGCUCCGAUGGAGCAGAAAUAGCGGGACCUGGACUUGUGGCGCGCCUGGUGCCACAUCUCGGGCUCUGCGAGCGUCCUGGCGCGGGAUCCUGCCUAAUGUCUUACAAUAACAGAAUGCAGGAGAGCACAUAUCAAUGAAGAAAAGACAAAAUGUACUUAUCCAUGAAGCUGAGGUUAAGAAACCAGUGUCUUCAAGAGCCAAGGACAGCACUGGGUCUGUGCAGAGUUGAGAGAUGGUGAUGACAUGUGACAGAGCUCCUUGCUGCUCAAAUUUUAUGCCAGAUAAAAUAUUCACCUUCUCGGACUCCCUGGCACCAGGCAUGGCCAUGUAAUCCUACAGCACAGCUGAUGAAAGAGAAGCCAUCUUGCUGCUAUUUGACAAGCAAGAAGAUAAAAGCUUUCCUAUAAAGUUGAUGGAGCAAAAAGAUAGAAGGGGCCUAGAC
rnacentral:lncRNA from 1 species